CCGCCCUACGGGACGCAGCAGUGGGGAAUAUUGCACAAUGGGGGAAACCCUGAUGCAGCGACGCCGCGUGAGUGAAGAAGUAUCUCGGUAUGUAAAGCUCUAUCAGCAGGAAAGAUAAUGACGGUACCUGACUAAGAAGCCCCGGCUAACUACGUGCCAGCAGCCGCGGUAAUACGUAGGGGGCAAGCGUUAUCCGGAUUUACUGGGUGUAAAGGGAGCGUAGACGGCAGCGCAAGUCUGGAGUGAAAUGCCGGGGCCCAACCCCGGCACUGCUUUGGAAACUGUGCGGCUCGGGUGCGGGGGGG
rnacentral:rRNA from 1 species